AGCAGCCGCGGUAAUUCCAGCUCCAAUAGCGUAUAUUAAAGUUGUUGCAGUUAAAAGCUCGUAGUUGAAUUUCGGGAUUUAUCCGUUGGUCGGGCUUUUGGUCUGUACUGGCGUGAUGGAUUCCUACCUUCUGAAUAACCGGCAUGCCAUUAAUUUGGUGCGCCGGGGAAGCAGGACUGUUACCUUGAAAAAUUAGAGUGCUUAAAGCAGGCUUAUGCCUGAAUACAUUAGCAUGGAAUAAUGAAAUAGGACGGCAUGGUUCUAUUUUGUUGGUUUCUAGGAUCACCGUAAUGAUUAAUAGGGAUAGUUGGGGGCAUUAGUAUUCAAUUGUCAGAGGUGAAAUUCUUGGAUUUAUUGAAGACUAACUUCUGCGAAAGCAUUUGCCAAGGAUGUUUUCAUUAAUCAAGAACGAAAGUUAGGGGAUCGAAGACGAUCAGAUACCGUCGUAGUCUUAACCAUAAACUAUGCCGACUAGGGAUCGGACGAUGUUAAUUUUUUCAA
rnacentral:rRNA from 1 species